rnacentral:lncRNA from 1 species
UAACAAAUAGACAUUUUUUUAAUUUUGCAUCGAACAAAUAGACAUUCUACAACCCCCAGCUGAGAAGCAUUACACUCAGGUAUACAUCCCUUUUGUAGGUGUACAAUAAACUGAGGAUACCCAGAAUAAAACUGUAUCCCAACAACUGUUUUCACAUCAAGCACAAUUGACUGUUCUAUAUCACGACAUUCAGGAGCAGGCUUAUCCUUUCUGCAACUACUCGGAGAAACGACAAUUCAUUUUCAGGCCUGAGGUCAGCUUUUCAGAUUUGAUCACGUGCGAGAUAACUUGGCAUCACAAUGAGAGAAAUAGAUGAUGCCCCUGUACUACCUCAUGUAUUGCCUUCAGGCAUACCUGAUGUAUUGCCUUCAGGCAAUAACACAAUGUACUAAAUUGGUUCACAUAAUUUAGAGAAAGAUAAUCCACACAAUGAGCAGAAGUAAAAUAUGGACGCUAAUAUAUAAUGCAGCUUAAAGUUGACAUGUUGGUAGUGUCCAGUAUACUGAAGUUGAUAGUUUCUUGACUCCUACAUAUGACACUGGAUUGCUUCUAGUCAAUUAAAUAUGCAGUAGAUAGGAAGAAAAAUACAGGAGAAUAGCACAUGACCAGUAUUGAAAGGACAUGGGAAAACUACUUAGAGGUCAAUGAAAUAUUAAUCUAGUUUGCAACUGAAAGACUCUAGAAUGAUAUCCUUAUGCUGAAAAUAAUCUGCCACUUAGUUGCUACCUUGGCAUCCCUCUGAAAUUAAAUACAUUAGCACUUAUUUUACUUAUAACAUUAAAUUAAUUGUUAAGAUAUGGAUUUAGAUAUAAAAUAACUGAAAGCUUUGAGACUUAUAUAUAGCAUCCAUUUAUUUUACCUGUAACAGAUUUACAUUUUGUUAAGUAGAUGAUUGAAAAGCAUUCUUCAUGCAGAUCUAAACUUUCCUUCACUAAAGGUCGAUAAGUGAAAAUAAGUGAUAAAUCAGUUGUACCUGUAAAUGUGCAUGAAUGGCAGAAACCUGACUGGCUUUACGGCCUAAGACCACAAGGAAGUUGUCCGCUUUUAUAUCAUGACGAAGGAAGUCCUCAAGUACAGUUACUCUACCUUCCCAAUCUGCACAGAAAAUUUUCAUUACUUUUACUUGGUGGUAAAAAAACGACUAAAUAAGGAUUCAUAAGAUUUUACUUUGGAGAUAAACAUUUUCAGUGGUAUUCUAUCAGACAUGUAGUCCAGCAUUAAUAGUCAAAAUGAUAAGAUAGAGUAAGAAAAAAAAUCAGCAUUUGAUCAGCAAGCAAAAAAUAUAUUGUUUAGAGAGUGCAUUUUCUAUCGCGAUAGUUGAAUAAUUCGUCCAAACUUGAACUAAGAAGAUAAUGGCCAUGAACUUAUACUAUCCGUCCACUCCAAACCACUUCCCAAUGCCGAAUCCCUAAUUAAGUUUGAAAUGAAACAUUAAGUUAAUAGCCAUAAAUUUAUUUUAUUAAAAUGCAGGUUGUUGUAUUGCUAAUUAAUUAACAUCCCUUACGGAAUAGUGUAUAGUCUCAUGAUGAUGUUGAUGAUCCAUUGGUUUAACAGAUUUAUAACAAAUUGUGGGAUGAUACAAAGUAGGAACAUUCAGGUAGGUACGUUCAGAUGCUAGCAGUUGCAGGGGCAAUGACAUGCCCUAGCACUCGGAAUUUAUGUUGAGACAAAAAAAUAUGCUCAAGUUCUGAAAGAAUGGUACCACUUAAUUCUUACCUACAUUUUUUCAUGGCAUAGUACUUGCUAGCACAUAUUGCAAGGAGCCAUUACAACAACAACAACAAAGCCUUUAGUCC